rnacentral:rRNA from 1 species
GAUAAACGCUGGCGGCGUGCAUAACACACGCAAGUCAAACGGGCGAGAAAGAGGUGCUUGCACCACUUUUGAGCAAGUGGCGGACGGGUGAGUAACGCGUGGAGAACCAACCUGGUGGAGGGGGACAACUUAGAGAAAUCUGAGCUAAUACCGCCUAAGCCUGUAUUGAGGCAUCUUGGUACAGGGAAAGGAGCAAUCCGCCACGAGACGGUUCCGCGUCUGAUUAGCUAGUUGGUAGGGUAAAGGCCUACCAAGGCGACGAUCAGUAGCCGAUCUGAGAGGAUGGACGGCCACAUUGGGACUGAGACACGGCCCAAACUCCUACGGGAGGCAGCAGUGGGGAAUAUUGCGCAAUGGGGGAAACCCUGACGCAGCAACGCCGCGUGAUUGAAGAAGGCCUUCGGGUUGUAAAGAUCUUUAAUCAGGGACGAAGGAAGUGACGGUACCUGAAGAAUAAGCUCCGGCUAACUACGUGCCAGCAGCUGCAGUAACAC